UACGGAGGGGGCGAGCGUUAUUCGGAAUUAUUGGGCGUAAAGGGCGCGUAGGCGGCUUGAUGUGUCAAAGGUGAAAUCCCUCGGCUUAACCGGGGAACUGCGUCUGAUACUGGAUGGCUUGAAUCCGGGAGAGGGAUGCGGAAUUCCAGGUGUAGCGGUGAAAUGCGUAGAUAUCUGGAGGAACACCGGUGGCGAAGGCGGCAUCCUGGACCGGCAUUGACGCUGAGGAGCGAAAGCCAGGGGAGCAAACGGG
rnacentral:rRNA from 1 species